AUAAAGGACUGAAGCUUUUUGAUGCCGCACGUUGAAGCCAGUAGGUCGGCUCGCACAGAAAAUGUAGAAAUUUAUUGUCCUGGUUUGCUGUAAAACCUUAAAUGGGUCCAAAGUAAAAUGUGAGUUUGCAUAUCAGGAUCGCUGUGGAGAUGUCUUGACCUCCAGCCUACUCAUCAUGGAUGAGCCUCUGUGCUCAGACACUCAGACCAUGUGGCAGAGAACUGAUCCAUGCUGCAGAUGAUACCUAAGUGAAGACGGUAUUGUUGACUCUUAUAGAGCAGAGAGGGGAAACAUGGAGAGCUUGUGUUAAAAUCUAUAUCCAUGGAGAAGUGCAGGCUGGGUGUGACAGUCAUGCUGUUCGUUAUUGACACUGGCCCGAAGAAAUGAGGUUGAUACAACUGACCAGCAGGCUCUGAAGAAUGGCCUGAGGAUGGUAUGUUUGUACAGUCAUAAUGCUGCACAAUGACACGUAACAUGAUUAUCAUUCGUAAGCACUGAAAAAAACAAAAACAAAAACAAAAAAACAGUUGAGGCAUGGCUGAAUUCUGUUCCAGCCUGUCUGUGGUGGAUACAGUCAGACACCAUGCAAAAGUCUUGUCUCAUUUCUACUAACUGACAGGAUGAGCGCUACUCUACGCCUCAUCCAGCUGUACAGGAGUGAGUACAACGCUGCAGUUGAAAACUGAAGAUGCUGCUCUGUUUCUCUUGGUUUUGGAUUUGAUUUUUCUUCUAUUUUUUCUAUAUUCUGCAGAACAGAAAGUGUCUGCUUCGGAAGCUGCCAGAGGUGCCUGAAGCAGCAUUCCCUGCACUCAGAUGGGCUAUAUUAAAGAUGUUGUGGAUGUGAAUGUGUCUCACUCUUUUAUAAUAAACUUGUACCUGUGUUCA